rnacentral:piRNA from 1 species
UGGAAAANCUUACUCCAUAUACAGGUUGC